rnacentral:rRNA from 1 species
UGGGGAAUAUUGGACAAUGGGCGAAAGCCUGAUCCAGCGACGCCGCGUGAGUGAUGAAGGCCUUCGGGUCGUAAAGCUCUGUCGGAGGGAACGAACAAGGGUGACCUAAUACGUCAUCCCCUGACGGUACUCUCAAAGGAAGCACCGGCUAACUCUGUGCCAGCAGCCGCGGUAAGACAGAGGGUGCAAGCGUUGUUCGGAAUUACUGGGCGUAAAGGGAGUGUAGGCGGCGAAGUGUGUCUGGCGUGAAAUACCUCGGCUCAACCGGGGAAGGGCGCUGGAUACUACUUUGCUCGAGUGCGAGAGAGGGUGGCGGAAUUCUCAGUGUAGAAGUGAAAUUCGUAGAUACUGGGAGGAACACCGGAGGCGAAGGCGGCCACCUGGAUCGCUACUGACGCUGAAACUCGAAGGCGUGGGGAGCAAACAGG